rnacentral:SRP_RNA from 1 species
UGCCGGUUCCCCCGCAAUGCUAAGCAAUGAACCCCGCCAGGACCGGAAGGUAGCAACGGUAAUUGUAAUGCGUGUGCCGGGGUCGGGCUGGCAGGG